UACGUAGGGUGCAAGCGUUGUCCGGAAUUAUUGGGCGUAAAGAGCGCGUAGGCGGUCUGUCACGUCGGCUGUGAAAACCCGAGGCUCAACCUCGGGCCUGCAGUCGAUACGGGCAAACUAGAGUACUGCAGGGGAGACUGGAAUUCCUGGUGUAGCGGUGAAAUGCGCAGAUAUCAGGAGGAACACCGGUGGCGAAGGCGGGUCUCUGGGCAGUAACUGACGCUGAGGAGUGAAAGCGUGGGGAGCGAACAGG
rnacentral:rRNA from 1 species